rnacentral:rRNA from 1 species
GAAACCAACAGGGAUUGCCUCAGUAACGGCGAGUGAAGCGGCAACAGCUCAAAUUUGAAAUCUGGCGCCUCCGGCGUCCGAGUUGUAAUUUGUAGAGGAUGCUAUUGGGUUGCCACCGGUCUAAGUUCCUUGGAACAGGACGUCACAGAGGGUGAGAAUCCCGUACGUGACCGGCCAGGCGCCCUCCGUAUAGCUCCUUCGACGAGUCGGGUUGUUUGGGAAUGCAGCCCUAAAUGGGAGGUAAAUUUCUUCUAAAGCUAAAUACCGGCCAGAGACCGAUAGCGCACAAGUAGAGUGAUCGAAAGAUGAAAAGCACUUUGGAAAGAGAGUUAAAAAGCACGUGAAAUUGUUGAAAGGGAAGCGCUUGCGAUCAGUCUCGACGGCGGCCGUUCGGCCUCUCUUCUGAGUGGUUUAUUCGGUCGCCGCCGGGCCAGCAUCAGUUUCGGCGGUCGGACAAAGGCGUGGGGAAUGUAGCUCCCUCGGGAGUGUUAUAGCCCCGCGUGCAAUACGACCCGCCGGGACUGAGGUCCGCGCUUCGGCUAGGAUGCUGGCGAAAUGGUCGUAAGCGGCCCGUCUUGAAACACGGACCAAGGAGUCUAACAUCUACGCGAGUGUUUGGGUGUCAAACCCGUGCGCGCAAUGAAAGUGAACGGAGGUGGGAACCGCAAGGUGCACCAUCGACCGAUCCUGAUGUCUUCGGAUGGAUUUGAGUAAGAGCGUAGCUGUUGGGACCCGAAAGAUGGUGAACUAUGCCUGAAUAGGGUGAAGCCAGAGGAAACUCUGGUGGAGGCUCGCAGCGGUUCUGACGUGCAAAUCGAUCGUCAAAUUUGGGUAUAGGGGCGAAAGACUAAUCGAACCAUCUAGUAGCU